CUACGGGACGCUCCAGUGAGGAAUAUUGCACAAUGGGGGGAACCCUGAUGCAGCAACGCCGCGUGGAGGAUGACGCAUUUCGGUGUGUAAACUCCUUUUAUAUGUCAAGAAAAUGACGGUAGCAUAUGAAUAAGCACCGGCUAACUCCGUGCCAGCAGCCGCGGUAAUACGGAGGGUGCAAGCGUUACUCGGAAUCACUGGGCACAAAGGACGCGUAGGCGGGUUGGAAAGUCAGGUGUGAAAGCCUACAGCUUAACUGUAGAACUGCACUUGAAACUCUCAACCUAGAGUAUGGGAGGGGCAGAUGGAAUUAGUGGUGUAGGGGUAAAAUCCGUAGAUAUCACUAGGAAUACCUAAAGCGAAGGCGAUCUGCUGGAACAUUACUGACGCUAAGGCGUGAAAGCGUGGGGAGCAAACAGGAUUAGAUACCCCCGUAGUC
rnacentral:rRNA from 1 species